ACAAUGGAGCAUAAAAUUCCCCAACCUCGCAAUCGCCUCCAUUCCGGCAGAUGAAACCCUAGGACCCGAUGGCCUAGCCACCAUUCCCACACACAGCCCGCCCGCCGCCGCCGCCAUGCCGCCGUUCCGGCGCUGGGCGGAUCUGCCGGCGGACCUCCUCUGCCGCAUCGGCGACAGCCUCGACCUCAAGUGCUACGCCAGCGCGCGGGGCGCCUGCACGGCCUGGCGAUGCGCGCUCUCGCCGCCGUCCCCGUCGCUCCUCGUCGUCCUCGACGACGCCAGGUGCUGCCCGUCCGCCGCGUCGCUCCCCACCCACCGCUCCUUCGAGCUCAAGAACAUCCUCUCGGGGGGCCGAUGCGUCGGCUCCAGCAACGGCUGGCUCGCCCUCUCCGUCUGCCUCUACGGCGGCCAGAGCAUGUUCAGCCUCUUCAACCCCAUCACCGCCACGGAGAUCCUUCUGCCGCCGCUGAUCUACGAGAGCCGCUGGGUCUCCAAGCUCGUCUUCGCGCCCACAACCCCGCCAGGGACGACUUCGCCGCCGCCGCCAUCUGCGACAUCGACAGGCUCGCCUACGUCACCGCGGGGGCCAGGAGGUGGGCCAUCCUCGAUCCCGUCCGCCUCUCCAGCGGAGAUCAGCUCGCCGACGUCGUCUACCAUGAAAAAGGUAGGGUCUACUGCCUCACCCGCUAUGGCGAUGUCCACGUGCUCCGCCUGCCGGAGCGCCGCCGCAGGAAGCCUAUCGUCGUCGAGGAUCCAGCUGGCCCAUCAGAGCCAGAGAUGCCUUUAGGACGUCCCGCACUCAGUCUUCAGGGAAGAAGACAGCGCAACUUGCGCAUGCUCUGCUAUGAACAUCGUAGAUGGAGAGAGCAGCAGCUUCCAAUUGCUACAAUGAAGGCUACCUUCUGCCAAGAUGUGUUUAUGCCUCUUAGGAGAGUUCCUCCUGGAUCUGUCGGGCCGGACCUAAAUGCACCGGCCACAGUCGAGCCCAUGUUGUCUGAGUCCAACCUACCGUUUGAUCCUGCUACCUGUUUUGCCGCGCCAUACAACACGGUGUCGGUUUUUACUAGUGCCAAGAACCUGGUGUUCUGUGACGGUAACCUGUACCAGAUCUGGAGAAAUGCAAGCUGCACGGUCACUUUGCAGCUGCCAGGAGGCGGUCACCGCCGUGUAGCCGAGAAUGAAAUACUUGUUCUGAGGUAUUAUCCCCGGCGCCAACCAUGCUGGGAUGCUGUGACAGACUUGGGAGGCUACUCAGUGUUUGUUGGGAGGAACAAUGCCGUGUCGAUGUAUGCUGAAGAUGUUCCAGGACUGAAGGGUAAUUGUGUCUACUGGAUCGGUGGGAGGGGUAGGGAUCAGGGCAUGGUCUUUGACAUGGGGACUGGGAGGUCUACACCUUGCCUUCCCGUUGCUGGUGCUGGUGUCGUUCCGGGGCCUCCACAGAGUACAAUCUGCUGGUACUUUCUCAGCGACAUAGUGAAUAACUGCAACAUAAGUGCAGGAAGAAAAGUUUAUCAGACCCGGGCAAGGGUCCGGGCUGAACGUGAGCAAGAUUUGGAGGAUUGAUGCGUCGCCAAGCAGAUUGGCGACAUAGUGAGCACCACCGGCCACAUCGGUGGAAGUUAUGUUUAUCAUGCCUGAGCAAGAGCCUCUCAUAUGGAGAGGCACUGAAGAGUUUAUCAUGCCUGAGCAAGAGCCUCUCAUAUGGAGAGGCACUGAAGAACUGGCAGAGUGUAAUUGCCUAUUGUAGCCAGUAGUUCGUUUUAAUUCAUCUGUUUCCUAAAAUAAUUUGCUUCAGUACUGUUGUUGGUUUGUACUCUAGUCCCUAUCAUCUUUGUGUGUUUAUGUCCUGUAAUGGAAUAAUCGGUGUUUGUAAAACUUAUAUUCAUCAUAUUAUGAUGGAAUAAGAGGAUGUUCAGAUAUUUGCAAGUUGGAAUUGUUGUUUAA